CUGUGCGCGCGCUGGCCCGGCAGCAUGGCGGAGGCGGCGGCUGCCCCUCAGCCGGGUCCGCCGCAGCCGCCUCCGCCGCCGCCGCCUGAGGAGUCGUCCGACAGCGAGCCCGAGGCGGAGCCCGGCUCCCCGCAGAAGCUCAUCCGCAAGGUGUCCACGUCGGGCCAGAUCCGCCAGAAGACCGUCAUCAAAGAGGGGAUGCUGACCAAACAGAACAAUUCAUUCCAACGAUCAAAAAGGAGAUACUUUAAGCUUCGAGGGCGAACGCUGUACUAUGCAAAAACUGCCAAGUCGAUCAUAUUUGAUGAGGUGGACCUGACAGACGCCAGCGUGGCUGAGUCCAGCACUAAAAAUGUCAACAACAGCUUUACGGUCAUCACUCCAUGUAGGAAACUCAUCCUAUGUGCAGAUAACAGAAAAGAGAUGGAAGACUGGAUCGCAGCGCUGAAGACGGUCCAGAGCAGGGAGCACUUUGAGCCUACCCAGUACAGCAUGGACCACUUCUCAGGGAUGCACAACUGGUACGCCUGCUCCCACGCGAGGCCCACCUACUGCAAUGUGUGCCGAGAGGCUCUGUCUGGGGUCACGUCCCACGGACUGUCCUGUGAAGUGUGUAAGUUUAAGGCCCACAAACGCUGUGCUGUGCGUGCGACCAGUAACUGCAAGUGGACCACGCUGGCCUCCAUUGGGAAGGACAUCAUCGAGGACGAGGACGGGAUCGCCAUGCCUCACCAGUGGCUGGAGGGGAACCUGCCCGUGAGCGCCAAGUGCACAGUGUGUGACAAGACCUGUGGCAGCGUGCUGCGUCUUCAGGACUGGCGCUGCCUCUGGUGCAAGGCCAUGGUGCACACGGCGUGUAAAGAAUCCUUACUGACCAAGUGCCCGCUGGGCCUGUGCAAAGUGUCGGUCAUCCCGCCCACCGCUCUCAACAGCAUCGAUUCUGAUGGCUUCUGGAAGGCCACGUGUCCUCCAUCCUGCACGAGUCCAUUGUUGGUCUUCGUCAAUUCAAAAAGUGGGGACAACCAGGGUGUGAAGUUCCUCAGAAGAUUUAAGCAGCUGCUGAACCCUGCCCAGGUCUUUGACCUCAUGAAUGGAGGACCACACCUUGGCCUACGCUUAUUCCAGAAGUUUGAUACGUUCCGGAUUCUGGUUUGUGGUGGAGAUGGCAGUGUUGGUUGGGUCCUCUCUGAAAUCGACAGCCUCAACCUUCACAAACAGUGUCAGCUGGGAGUGCUGCCCCUCGGCACAGGGAAUGACCUGGCUCGCGUGUUAGGCUGGGGCUCGGCCUGUGACGAUGACACCCAGCUCCCGCAGAUCUUGGAGAAGCUGGAAAGAGCCAGCACCAAGAUGCUGGACAGGUGGAGCGUCAUGGCCUACGAGACAAAACUCCCCCGGCCAGCCUCCUCUUCCACUGUCACCGAAGACUUGAGUGAGGGCUCCGAGGUGCAGCAGAUCCUCUUCUAUGAAGACUCGGUCGCGGCCCAUCUCUCUAAGAUCCUGACCUCCGACCAGCACUCGGUGGUGAUCUCAUCAGCCAAAAGCCUCUUCCCGCGUUCCCCCCACAGAGUGCUCUGCGAGACCGUGAAGGACUUCGUGGCUCGGGUGGGGAAGGCCUACGAGAAGACCACCGAGAGCUCAGAGGAGUCGGAGGUCAUGGCCAAGAAGUGCUCUGUCCUGAAAGAGAAGCUGGAUUCUCUCCUCAAGACCCUGGAUGAUGAGUCCCAGGCCUCGUCCUCUCUGCCUACGCCGCCCCCCACCAUCGCCGAGGAGGCGGAAGACGGGGAGGGGGCGGGCGGCAGCUGUGGCUCCAGUUCCACCGGGGACCGCGCCGUGGGGUCGGCCUGCCCAGCCCGGCCGCAGAUAUUCCGUCCUCGGGAGCAGCUCAUGCUGAGAGCCAACAGCCUGAAGAAGGCGAUUCGCCAGAUCAUAGAGCACACAGAGAAAGCUGUGGACGAGCAGAACGCCCAGACCCAAGAGCACGAGGGGUUCAUCUUAGGUCUCUCCGAGUCGGAGGAGAAGAAGGACCUGAAGUCGGACGACAGAGCGUGCCACGGCGAGGGCCACGGCGAGGGCCACGGCGCUGCCAAGGGCAGGAGCCUCCGCAGAGUGUCCAAAUCCCCGUGUGAAAAGCUGAUAAGCAAAGGAAGCUUGUCCCUGGGCGGUUCUGCCUCUCUUCCUUCGCAGUCAGGAAACCGGGACAGCCUGCCAGCACUGAACACGAAGAUCCUGUUCCCCAAUGUUCGCGCCGGGAUGUCUGGUUCCUUGCCUGGAGGUUCAGUCAUCAGUCGAUUAUUAAUUAAUGCUGAUCCCUUUAACUCCGAACCAGAAAACCUGAAGAACUGCUUAGAGGCUGGCAUGCAGGGUUGUUCUAAAUGGCGUGAAACACCCCUUUGCAGAGAGUAUUACACAGAGAAGUGCGUCAUGAACAAUUAUUUUGGCAUCGGCCUGGAUGCGAAGAUCUCCCUGGACUUCAACAACAAGCGUGACGAGCACCCAGAGAAGUGCAGGAGUCGAACCAAGAACAUGAUGUGGUACGGAGUCCUCGGCACCAGAGAGCUGCUGCACAGAACCUACAAGAACCUGGAGCAGAAGGUCCUGCUGGAGUGUGACGGGCGACCCAUCCCACUGCCCAGUCUCCAGGGAAUUGCUGUCCUCAACAUUCCCAGCUAUGCUGGAGGGACCAACUUCUGGGGGGGCACCAAGGAGGACGAUACCUUUGCAGCCCCGUCGUUCGAUGACAAGAUCUUGGAGGUGGUCGCGGUGUUCGGCAGCAUGCAGAUGGCCGUCUCCCGUGUCAUAAAGCUGCAGCAUCACCGCAUCGCUCAGUGUCGCACGGUGAAGAUCUCCAUCCUGGGGGAUGAGGGCGUACCUGUGCAGGUGGACGGAGAGGCCUGGAUCCAGCCGCCAGGGUACAUUCGGAUUAUCCACAAGAACCGGGCACAGACGCUCACCAGGGAUCGGGCCUUUGAGAACACCCUGAAGUCCUGGGAGGACAAGCAGAAGUGUGAGCUGCCCCGCCCUCCAUCUUUCUCUCUGCACCCGGAGAUCCUGUCUGAGGAGGAAGCCAACCAGAUGGACCAGUUUGGGCAGGCAGCAGGGGCCCUCAUCCACAGCAUCCGGGAAGCAGCGCGGUCCCACCGAGACGUGGAGCAGGAGCUCGCCCACGCCGUCAACGCCAGCUCCAAGGCCAUGGACCGGGUGUAUGGCAAGCCCAGGGCCGCAGAGGGGCUGAGCUGCAGCUUCGUGCUGGAGAUGGUGAAUAACGUCAGAGCUCUGCGCAGCGAGACGGAGCUGUUGCUGGCGGGGAAGCUGGCCCUGCAGUUGGAUCCCCCUCAGAAGGAACGGCUCACGGCUGCCCUCGUCGAGAUGGACCAGCAGCUCAGGAAGCUGGCGGACACCCCCUGGCUGUGCCAGCCCGUGGAGCCUGGUGAUGAAGAGGUGCCGGCUUAAGGACUUUACACAUCCUAACUCACCUGUGUUCCUUAGCAAAUCUUACGAGGUGGGUAUCUGCACUUUACAGAUGAGGACACAGGCUCAGAGAAGUUCAUGACUUGUCCCAGCAGCACGUGGCAGGGAUGGGAGUCACGGGGCAGUUGGGUACCGGAGAUCACACCUCGAGGGCCACGCUGGUCCUGUGUCCCAGGCCUGACACCAACCCCAGCCCACGCUGGGGGAACGGCCUAAGUCACACACAGGCAUCCUGGCCUGGGAGCCUGUGGUCCCUCUCACACUGGGAUGGCAACUGUGACCGUGCUGGCCGCCCAGCCCAGGUGCCGGCCUCGGAGCAGCGUCUGUUGCCACUUUUGAUCACAAAAGCCUAAUAAGCAGGUUGUAAAACUCGCAGAGGAAAACCCGCCAGCUGGGGACCUGAAGGCUUUCUUGCUCGCGCCGUGGACGGAAGCAGAUCAACCAAAAAGCCUGCUGCGCUUUCCGGUAAGUCAUGUUGCCAGCCGGGCCCCACGCUGAGAACAAAAUUGCCUGUGGUCCCAGGUCUCCAGGACGUGUGCCGCAGGAGGAAAGUGCCCCAGUGUGGCCGCCGCCAGGUGCACCCUCGGGGCCGGGCGGGCCUCCGCGGUGCCAGGCAGGGCCGUGUGCAGCGCCCAUCACCGUGGAGGCCGUGACCGCUCGGGGUGGCCUCGACUUCCGGAAGAGCCGUUGUAUCGUGGUCCCCACUCCCUCAGUACGCUGGUUCCAAGUCAAAUCAUUCAUGUCAUUGAGCUGCUGCUAGCCGAACCCCGAGGCGCUCCAUCCGUCGGGCCCAACCCAGACCCCAGGCUGCAGUGCGGCGCCUUCCCAGAACGUACACAUACCCACGGUGACCGGUCACGUCUUUUACUGACAGGGCAGGACUGAGCACGGAAGCUCUCUCCCUGGAGCCCCACUCCAUCCCCAAACUGGAAGGAAGGAAGGAAGGAAGGAAGGAAGGAAGGAAGGAAGGAAGGAAGGAGGGAGGGGAGCAAGCCGACAAGCAGAGACCACCCGAGGCCCCGGCCGCUCACCGUGGACACCAUGCAGCACCUCGACCCCUGCCUGUCGUGGUAGGUGAUGCCCAGCAAGGCCGCCGGCUUCUCAGAAGCAAGGCUUUUCAGUUAGAACAUUAAUGUUUUAUUACAGUGGAAUGAAGGGGCACACCAAGGAGCCCUGUCAGUUACGGGAAAAGGGACAGAAGAGCCUCUACACAGAGGGGCAGUCAGGGAGCUUACACUUUGGCCUCGUCACUGCCCGCCAGGUGCGUCUGGAGAGUCUGGACCCCACGUGCGCGUCUCCUGAGACAGAGUUAGUGUUUGAGGCCGGAAGCACUCGCCAAAGCCCAACUUCUUAAAACACGACUGCUUCAAUACAAAUUAGUACGUAAUUCGCGAGCCAACAAUUUCAGACGCACACACAGAGACCAGAGUUUCUAGUGGUGGUGCUGACACUGUUUGGAAGGAGGGAGAACAGAGGAAGGAAGGGCAGGGCAUUCGUUCCACUCAGUGGCAAGCUCUGCGGAAGAGCAGCACGGGCGCAGCAACAUUCACGCAAUUUCCUUAAGCCGGUGGUGCAGGCGGAGGCCUAGCCCACGUGUCAUUUCCUUUCCAUCCCUUACAUUUAAGAGCUAUUUUAAUAUCAUCAGUGGUAAAAAGGCUGAUGAAAAACUGUGAAAUCAAGAAGAUAACCAUACCUAGCAAGAGAGUCGCUAUAAAGCAUCACUGAGGUAUAAGAAAGUAAAGAAUUUGUUUUUCCUGCUUCUGACUGAGUUAGCUUGAGAAAGUGAGUCACCCCAGUGUCCAAAAUCACUCAGCUCAGUAACACAGACGCGACGUAGCUGUCAUAAAUACCACUUACAUCUUUUAAAUGGGAGAGCCAGCUAUGCCGCAUUAAGAAGACUCUUGGUUCACAUUUUCUUUUUCCCAUUUUAAUCGAGGCUCCUCAGGACUGCCCCCUCAGCCCUUCCCAGGCUUGUCGGCCACGACCUGCCUCCCCGUCAGGCUCCCAGAAGGAAGAGGCCCCGGCGAGAAUGUUCUGACCACAGACAGCACGGGUCGGACGCCAGCUCAUGCUGCCCCCUCCCCAGCGGCACCCGACCUCAGAGGAUGCCCCGUCGGUCUCAUCCCGGAAAGAGAGGUAACUAACGCUUCAGAACCACUUCUAACUCAGACCAAAGGGGAAACGUGCCGUUUGGGGACCAGAAAACAGACUCCUGUUUAUGUCACAGCGUGAGCCUGGCCAGCCCAUCGCUGUGAGCCGAGCUGUCAGAGCCUGGGCGGCCACAGAUACCUGAACAGCGUGAGAGAGAGAGAGUGGGGCGGGUGUACUUUAGAGACAGGUGUGUAGGGAUGAGCCACGUGGCACGUCACCCAUGCCUGCAGUUAAUGCAAAACUAGUCAAUUUUUGUAUAAAGAUGGUGGCGGGGCUCGAGUGUUGGCGCGAGGGUGUCGGCUGGUUGGCACCUGUGGUGCGGCCAGGUCCGUGCCAGCCUGGGGGGACGCGCCACGGAGCGGGUGACAAGCGCACUCGCCUGGCCUGCGAUGGAGCGCCCUCUUUGCUCAUGACAAAGCAGGGCUCUGAGUCCGUGUCCACACCGGGCAGAAACCAGGAAACGGGCCAGGACCUGCAGCAGGAGUGUAGGCCCUGUGCUAUCUGAAGCUCCCGACGUGGAUGGAGAGAGAAGCUUCUGGUCCACGGGGGCGGGGAGGCAUCUCUGCACCAGAGGGGACGUCGCUGCUCCGCACACGAAGGGCUUCCUGGCUGCGGGGACACAGAGGCCGUCACGGGGUCACAUCCCAGACGCCAAGGGCCCCACCAGGUCGAGGAGUGACUCCACAUCUCAUUCCAACUUUCAGGGUCAAGUCAGGGCGGGCCGCAGAGACGCACGGUGGCAGUUUGGGCAGCAUUUCCGCACUGCUCCCUCGGGGACCUCGGGGUACCCCUCCCCGGGGCGCAUUCCCACGCCCUCCCCACAGAGGGGUCCAGCCUCGGGGCUUUUCUCAGCGGCUGAGGGAAGGUGUCUCAGAGCAGUGCAGUCUUUCCUGCUUCACCUUCCCAAUCCAAGCGUGACCUUCACAGAUGCUCACGUCUGAAACGCCCAGCUCCGCACAUGGUUACAGGGUCACACACCUGGGGGACACCGCCUCCACCCCAGCCCUCGCUUCCCUGUCCUGCAUGCCAGGCGGAGGGCAUGUCUUCUUGCUGCCGUCACAACGCCUGACACUUGGUACCCAAGCUGUGGAAGGUGGGAGGAGAGGAAGGCUGAGGUGAGCAGGGGCUGGGCCAGGCAGGCAGCCUGGUUCAAAGGCUACUGCCGAGAGGAGAGGCCACCAAGCCAGAAGCAAUGAGGACGGGGACAGGACACAAGACCUCAGGAGACUGGAAGUGGGGACAGAUCAGGACGACCACCCACACCCCUGGUGUGGCCUGCGAGGGGUGACUAUGCAGACCACGGUGGUGGGAGCCAGGCCCAGGCACGUGGAGGUUGAAGUAUCAGCACUGGUGGAAGGUUCCAGUAGAUUCUGAUAGGUGUCUGUGGUCUGGAGGCCAGGAGAGAGCUGGGCUGUGUACAGAAGAGGAAGGAGCGAGCCCACCCAAGGUGACGACUCGGGCAGAGCAGAGCGAGGAAGAUGGAUGGGGAGGGAGCUCCCUCCAAGGGGAGGGUUGGCUGGGUGAGCAACCUGGCUGGCUGCCUGGAGGGGACAGACGGGGUGGAGGGUGACGGAGGUGACAGCAGGAGGACACAGCUGCAGCAGGGUCAGGAAGCGCGAACCCUAGACAAGCCAGGGCAGGUGUCUGAAGGAAGAGACCCAGGGAUGGGGGAGGCCGACUGCAGGAACAGGGCCCCGGCAGAGGGAGAACGAGACCCGGAGCUCGGGGAGGGGCCUCCUCCUCGCAGUGAGCUGCGCCCAGGUUCCUCCUGCACGGUCCCCAGGAAGCCACUCUAGGGGUGAUGGAGAGAAGGUGGGCAAGCGCAGGCAGGGAGGAGGGCUCUGCUGUUUCUUUCCACGCCUCAGUCAGGAGCUUUCCAGCGAGAGCAGGCGCGCCAGCGCCUGGAGGUCGCGGUGGAAUCUGUCAACGUAGGUGAGGACCCUAACUUACCGCUUCUUUCUCCCCAGAGCAAACGCUUUCUGUUUUUCUCUUCCAAUGUCAUCUCUGACUGUACUGAAAUCAUCAUCAUCUUCAACCAGGAGAUUCUGCAUUUCAAAAUAAUUAAUGAGCAAUGUUUUCAGACAUCUUUUUAGUCUACGUUUUUUUUGCGUUAUGCGGGCCUCUCACUGUUGUGGCCUCUCCCGUUGCGGAGCACAGGCUCCGGACACGCAGGCUCAGCGGCCAUGACUCACGGGCCCAGCCGCUCCACAGCAUGUGGGAUAUUCCCGGACCGGGGCGCGAACCCGUGUCCCCUGCAUCGGCAGGUGGACUCUCAACCACUGCGCCACCAGGGAAGCCCAAUCUUACAACCUUUUGAACUCUCUUAAACAGAGCUGAUGGUUUGACUGUAGAAAAACUAAGAACAGUUUUGUAUUUUCCUUUUAGAAUUUCUUUUACCUUUCAAUUUUUGUUUAUUUAUUUGCUUUUCUUCGUUGGGCGGAAGGUCAUAUUACAUUGGUCCCAUUCUUUAGUACAAUGUUGAACAGAAGUGGUGAUUAAGGGAAUACUUAUUCCUUAAUAUAAAUAAUUUAAUAUUAAUAAAUUAUUAAUUCUCAAAUUAAGGAUUUAAAUCAUUCACCCUUAAUACAAAAAAUGUUAUUAUAUGACAACAAAGUAGGUUUGUCCAAGGAAUGCAAGGAUGGCUCGGUGUUGCGAACAUGUUUAUGUAAUAACAAACACUACAUUACCACAUUGAAGAAGAAAAACGAUAUAGCUAAUUAAACAGAUGCAGAAAAAGCACAGAAUAAAAUUUAACGUUUAAAAAAAUUUAAUAUUUAUUUAAAAAUCCAGGGCUUCCCUGGUGGCGCAGUGGCUGAGAGUCCACCUGCCGAUGCAGGGGACGUGGGUUUGUGCCCCGGUCCAGGAAGAUCCCACAUGCCGCGGAGCAGCUAGGCCCGUGAGCCAUGGCCGCUGGGCCUGCGCGUCCAGAGCCUGUGCUCCGCGAUGGGAGAGGCCACAACAGUGAGAGGCCCGCGUACCGCAAAAAAAAAAAAUAAUCCAGUGCUCAUUCAUGAUUUAAAAAAAAGAACUUAGAGUAAACUAGGAAUGGAAGGAAAUGUCUUAACCUAAUACAGGUACCUACAUAAAACCUACAGCAACACACUUAGUGAUAAAACUUCACAGCAUUUUCAUUCAAGUCAGACCCAAAAUUAAGCUUUUGGUAUUGAGGUUCUACUGGCCUCAUAAAAUGAGUUCUCUGGGGGCUUCCCUAGUGGUGCAGUGGUUAAGAACCCGCCUGACAAUGCAGGGGACACGGUUCGAUCCCUGGUCCAGGAAGAUCCCAUAUGCCGCGAAGCUUAAGCCCGUGUGCCACAACUACUGAGGCUGCGCUCUAGAGCCCGCGAAUAAAAUUUAUUUAUUUAUUUAUUUAAAAAUGA